GAUGAACGCUGACAGAAUGCUUAACACAUGCAAGUCAACUUGAAUUUGGGUUUUUAACUUAGGUUUGGGUGGCGGACGGGUGAGUAACGCGUAAAGAACUUGCCUCACAGCUAGGGACAACAUUUGGAAACGAAUGCUAAUACCUAAUAUUAUGAUAAUAGGGCAUCCUAAUUAUGAAAGCUAUAAGCGCUGUGAGAGAGCUUUGCGUCCCAUUAGCUAGUUGGAGAGGUAACGGCUCACCAAGGCGAUGAUGGGUAGCCGGCCUGAGAGGGUGAUCGGCCACAAGGGGACUGAGACACGGCCCUUACUCCUACGGGAGGCAGCAGUGGGGAAUAUUGGACAAUGGACCGAGAGUCUGAUCCAGCAAUUCUGUGUGCACGAUGAAGUUUUUCGGAAUGUAAAGUGCUUUCAGUUGGGAAGAAACAAAUGACGGUACCAACAGAAGAAGUGACGGCUAAAUACGUG
rnacentral:rRNA from 1 species